rnacentral:rRNA from 1 species
CGUAGGGGGCCAGCGUUGUCCGGAAUCAUUGGGCGUAAAGCGCGCGUAGGCUGCCAGACAAGUCCGGUGUGAAAGUCACAGGCUCAACCUGUGAAUGCCGCUGGAAACUGUCUGGCUAGAGUCCGGAAGGGGCGAGUGGAAUUCCUGGUGUAGCGGUGAAAUGCGCAGAUAUCAGGAGGAACACCUAUGGCGAAGGCAGCUCGCUGGGACGGUACUGACGCUGAGGCGCGAAAGCGUGGGGAGCGAACAGG